GACUCUCGUCUGACGUACAUGUCCGAAACAAAGGGGAAAAUGAAACAGGCUCACUCACUUGUCCGUCAUCAACUAGUGAGUGCCAUCUGUUUGUGUUUGAAUUUUACUUUCAGGGUCGUAAUCGGGAGGGGAAGGGAAAAAGGACUUGCGGUGGAGCCAGCAAGCGUAAACUGGGAACCGAACGGUUACAAUACCCCAUCGUCCCUCCUUCAAAAUGAAUGAAAUUCAUUUUGAAUCAAUGGUUUCAAUCAUUAACUUCUACCAAGAUCAACUUUUGAUUAUGGUGAAACUGAUUUAAAUGCCCUUCUGCGGGAAUACUCUAUUAGCCCUAUUAACCUUCGUCACUGUAGACGAAGCAAAGGUACUCAAAUCGAGUGGUAACUCAUAACCAACACUGUUGUUGUGUUGAAAAGUAUCAAUCAAUGAACCAAUGUUUAUGUUUACAUCGCGAUUAGUACGACGGUUCGCGAGUCCUCGUACUAUGUUUCGCGUUCUUUCUCGACAUUUCGCGGUUAACGUGGCGGCUUUCAAUCGUGUCCGGCAACAGAAAACUCUCGAGAGUACUCUGUAUCGCGAUUCCGUAAAAAUCAUUUGCCGGUCGGAUUUCAAUUUUACUGUUCGACGGAGUCUGCGGGAAAGAGAAUUUUCUCUUGCGAAGGCGAUUGGCUUUGCCAUAAGGUUCAUAUUUCGUUGAAUAAUUAUUCGUUCCGGAACUAUGAAUGAAAAACGAUUGUGAGGACUUCAGUCGUCCACAAAUGUACACCGACGGGAUAUGGGGUGUCGCCAGCCAUCGAACUGGUCCCGAUCGAGUGUGAAACUUGACCUUUGAAUAUCUCGCAUCCUUCGCUGGAGCGACACUGGUCUUCGAUGGAAUCGUUGGAGUUGCCGUUAAUGUGAUCUCGAGCUCAAAGGAGAGACCCGAGCAGAAAUUUUAUAUCAACCUCGCUGUAUCGUACAGGAGCAAAAAUGUCAAAAUAAAUUCAUUUUGGGUGUUGUUAUUCGUUUGGGGAUGGUGUCUAUCGAUCUGGUUUACCUCCGGUUUCCGCGAUGAUUUACCGAAGAGAAAGCAUAACUUUUUUUUACGAAAGGUUUACGCGACGAUUACGGCAAAAGUUUCUAUCGGGUUAGCUAGUGUUGGUUUAUGAAUGGUCGAUUGCGGUUUUUGUAAGAUCCUACGGUUGGAUACUCAUGUUUACUCGCUAGAUUCUAUCUCGCGCCAGACAUUUCUGGGCUUCGGCGGUGCUUGGCUUCCCGCUGAGCGGUCACGGAAAGCCACGAAGGAAUUUGCAUCUUCGUCUUUCGCGUCGACGGAUAGGCUCGCGAUUGUUUGCCGGAAUCGGAAAAGGAACAUUCUACUAGUUUUCGCAUUUGUAAAUCAACUAUACGAUGUUUUAAUCGGGUUCUAGGCCGCCCGCGCGUCGUUUCGCGGAUCAACAUCGACCGGUUUGUUGAAUUCAUCGCAAUAAACUGCCGUUUCCUUUUUGAUCGGGAAA